GCAGUUCCGAAAACGGUUUAGGGUACCUAUUCCUGACGAAAUUUCCUGUAUAUAAUCCCGUGAGAAGUCGAAGAAGUACGGUGUCAGUCCAGACAUGUUGAUGGUGAUGCUGGGGAUUCCCAGAACGGAACACCUCUAAUUGGCAGCUUCUCACAACUCAUGCCGAAGGGGUUGUGGCAAUUUAAGUGGAAAAAAUCCACCACAACAAAAGAAGUUAGGGCUGCAACAUCUGCGACACGACCUACAACACGAACAAGGCGCUGCAGCAGCACAAAUUUGUGGUGCACACCGACCCCAGCAACUGGAAGUACAGCUGCGACGUCUGUCUGAAACGGUUCCCUCUGAAGGGCGGUUACUCGGAGCACAUGAAGCGGCACGAAGGGGUGAAACAGCACUCCUGCUUGGUGUGUGGCAAACGGUUCGUCAGCAAGGUGGAGCUUUCGAAGCACAAGAAGCUGCAUUCCAACUUCCGGGGCUUCAAAUGUUCGCAGUGUCCCAAGGAAUACAAGGACAAGUUUUUGUAUGAAGUGCACCUCACAAAGGUGCAUGGGAUAGGCAACAAACCGGUGUAGGUCAGAGUGAAGAAGCACACGUGCCACAUUUGUCCCAAAUCGUUCUACGACAAGCACAAACUGGCCAGGCAUUUAUGCACGCAUUCUGGUGUAAAACCUUUCAGUUGCACCAUGUGUGACAAGAAAUUUACGGAUAGGUCUUAUCUGAAUCAACACAUGAA